CUGCUUGUCCCCAUCUGCCCUCCCCCACUGGCUGUGAGUGUGUGCUGGGCCUUCAGCCCCUCACCUGGACACUGGAUAAAGACACCAACAGAAAACAUCUGACACAGAAGGACGGCAUAUAAACGGACUGAAUGAAUGAACUGAACCUGGGGCCUUCUGCAUGCUAAGCAAAUGCACUACCUCCAGGCUAUGGCUCCAUUCCUUGAAGGAAAGAUAGGAUACACCUUGUAAUAAAUAAGGAUAUGUGGUCUUUAGGGUUGCUGGUGCCAAGAGUCAAUGCCAUCAGGAGCUGCAUCUCCAACAGUCCUGGUAGUGGCCCCUGACUGUGGAAUGCCCUCCCUAAAG